GACGAACGCUGGCGGCGUGCUUAACACAUGCAAGUCGAACGGAAAGGCCCUGCUUUUGUGGGGUGCUCGAGUGGCGAACGGGUGAGUAACACGUGAGUAACCUGCCCUUGACUUUGGGAUAACUUCAGGAAACUGGGGCUAAUACCGGAUAGGAGCUCCUGCUGCAUGGUGGGGGUUGGAAAGUUUCGGCGGUUGGGGAUGGACUCGCGGCUUAUCAGCUUGUUGGUGGGGUAGUGGCUUACCAAGGCUUUGACGGGUAGCCGGCCUGAGAGGGUGACCGGCCACAAUGGGACUGAGAUACGGCCCAGACUCCUACGGGAAGCAGCAGUGGGGAAUAUUGCACAAUGGGCGGAAGCCUGAUGCAGCAACGCCGCGUGCGGGAUGACGGCCUUCGGGUUGUAAACCGCUUUCGCCUGUGACGAAGCGUGAGUGACGGUAAUGGGUAAAGAAGCACCGGCUAACUACGUG
rnacentral:rRNA from 1 species